GAUGAACGCUCGCGGCAGAACUUAAUCCACGUCGAGUCGUGGGGCAGCGGGUUUCUCCGGGAACGCCGGCGACCGGCGAACGGGUGAGUCACACGUAUGGAACCUACCCUUAACUCGGGGAAUAGCCUCGAGAAAUCGAGGGUAAUACCCCAUACCAUCUUUGAGGGACAUCCCUUUUGGAUGAAAGCUCCGGCGGUUAAGGAUGGCCAUGCGGUCCAUUAGCUUGUUGGUGAGAUAACCGCUCACCAAGGCCACGAUGGAUAGCUGAUCUGAGAGGAUAAUCAGCCACAUUGGCACUGAGACACGGGCCAAACUCCUACGGGAGGCAGCAGUAGGGAAUCUUGGUCAAUUGGCGAAAGCCAGAACCAGUCAUGCCGCGUGCAGGAUGAAGGCCCUAUGGGUCGUAAACUGCUUUUAUUCGGGAAGAAAAAGUCUGUUUCCACAGAUUCUUGACGGUACCGAUUGAAUAAGGACCGGCCAACUCCGUGCCAGCAGCCGCGGUAAUACGGAGGGUCCAAGCGUUAUCCGGAUUCACUGGGUUUAAAGGGUGCGCAGGCGGCUAAGUAAGUCAGUGGUGAAAGCCUUCGGCUCAACCGGAGAAUUGCCAUUGAAACUACUUAGCUUGAGUGCAGUAGAGGUAGGCGGAAUGUAGCAUGUAGCGGUGAAAUGCAUAGAUAUGCUACAGAACACCGAUAGCGAAAGCAGCUUACCAGACUGCAACUGACGCUGAGGCACGAAAGCAUGGGUAGCAAACAGGAUUAGAUACCCUGGUAGUCCAUGCCGUAAACUUUGAACACUCGGAGUCUGCCACUUAGUGGUAGGCUCCCUAGCGAAAGCGUUAAGUGUUCCACCUGGGGAGUACGGCCGCAAGGCUAAAACUCAAAGGAAUUGACGGGGGCCCGCACAAGCGGAGGAGCACGUGGUUUAAUUAGAUGAAAAGCUACGAACCUUACCAAGCCUUGACAUGCAAGUAGUAGGCGGGCUGAAAGGCCGGCCGACCCCUGUUUAUCAGGGGGGCUUGCACAGGUGGUGCAUGGCUGUCGUCAGCUCGUGCCGUGAGGUGUUGGGUUAAGUCCCGCGACGAGCGAAACCCCUGCCCUUAGUUGCCAGCAUUAAGUUGGGGACUCUAAGGGUACUGCCAGUGAAAAACUGGAGGAAGGCGGGGACGACGUCAAGUCCAUAUGCCCCUUAUGGCUUGGGCUACACACGUGCUACAAUGGACGGUCCAACGGGUUGCCACACCGCGAGGUGGAGCGAAUCCUUCAACGCCGUUCAAAGUUCGGAUUGCAGUCUGCAACUCGACUGCAUGAAGUCGGAAUCGCUAGUAAUCGUGGAUCAGCAAUGCUACGGUGAAUACGUUCUCGGGCCUUGUACACACCGCCCGUCACACCACAAAAGUCGGCAACACCCAAAGUCAGUGACCCGCGAGGGAGCUGCCUAAGGUGGGGCCGGUGAUUGGGGU
rnacentral:rRNA from 1 species